rnacentral:lncRNA from 1 species
UUGCCUAUGUCUCUGCCUCUCUCUGUACCUUUCAUGAAUAAAUAAAAUCUUUUUUUUUUUUAAAGAAAUUACAUCAGUUAUAGGUUUGCUCUUGGAUAUUGCUUUCAAAUGUGUCAAUAAACAAAAUACUCCUAUUACUAUAUCACAAAUCUGUUUUCUUUUUAAUAUUUUGAUAAUUGUAUUCCAAUAUAAUUAGUUUCCUUUGUACUGCUAUGUAUUUUACUUUAGGCAUCUAGAAACAUUACUGUGAGAAACGCUUCACAGGCUUACCUAGACUGCAAGAGGGUCCAUGGAAGAAAUUUCAAGACUCUUGAUUAAAGGGACUCAAAAUAUCAGUGAAAUGCUCUCCUGGACAAGUUGCCAUAUAUCCAUUCCUAUUCCCUUUGCUCCUGUUCCAGAAGCUGAAAGAUUUAGUUCAUAGUCUUUCGCCAUGCAAUUUAUUUAGCUGGCAUCCUCCUUAACUAUAAAACUUCAGAGGAGACUGAUGAUCCAAGAAUAAGGUAAGUGAAGUCUUCAUGAAUUUAAAAAGCAAAUAAA